rnacentral:snRNA from 1 species
UGAACAUAUUCAAGGAUAA